GAAGCAGUUAUACAUUGUCCUGCCAGCAUUCAGCCAACUGAAAUCUCAAAUAUGCUACUAUCUUAGCCAUGCAGAAGUCAACAUUCUCCAGAAAGCAAUGAUCAGGCCACCUAUAGUUUACCAUGUUUAUUGGAGACUAGUAUUCCCUAAGAACCUGAGCCAUCCAUGGGAAAAAAUCAGGUGCCAGGGAGAUGCCAUGUGCAAGUGAAGAUGGUAUGACCCAG